GUGAAGGUCCCAAGUCUCUACGACUUCCGGUUCUCGAAAUAGAUUUUUUCUAAAAUUGUAUACAAUUUUUCAAGGGGAAUAACUCCUUAUAAGGGUUAAUAACAAAAUGAUUGUAUAUGUUCAUUAACAUUGCCAUCUGUUCCUGUACAUGUUGCCGUUUUCAAAUCGAUUCUAUCUCUAACACUUUUUGAGAAAUGUGCAAAGGAAAGAAAUUGUUUCAAAGGGAAAUACCUCUCAAAGGGGAUGAUGAAAUUCUAUGCAGCCUCAUAUGGUAAUACAUCAUGAUGAGAUGUACCUAUUGUCCAAAUAAGGUCAUGAUAUCUUUAAAAACAACGAGGGGGGCCAUGUUGAAAAAAAAAUCAAUAAAAGGGAGAUUCUAAAGGGGAUGAUGAAAUCCUACACAGCCUCAUCUGUUAAUACCUCAUGAUGAGGUUUAUCGAUGGUUCAUAUUUGCUUUUGAUGACUUCAAUAGAAACGGGG
rnacentral:lncRNA from 1 species